CCUUAUAAUCGCCUCACCUUGCAGAAUUGGAGUUGUUGGUUUGGUCACGUCUUGUGCUUCAUCCUUGAUUUUGAGUUCAGGCUUGGUUUUCCUCUGUUAUUGGUGAGUGAAGCUUCCUACAGAGGGUAAAUAUAGUGUCUUGGCUUCUGCUAUAGCUCCAAGUGAAAUCACAAGAUGGCCUUAGGUCUGUAUUUCAUGUUGCUUCUCUCUUUGGCCAGUGGACUAUGGGCUCAUGGUGUUGGAGAAACAAGACCAUCUGACGGUUGGUACUUCCUAGAACUGUGGUGGCUUAGAACAUAGUACCACUGUGUAAUAUUUGUCCACAAACAGAGCUCAUGUGUUUGAUAGUACCCAGUCAAUACAUCGGUACCAGGCUGACAAAAGGUUCAGCUGAUCUG